AUUGAACGCUAGCGGGAUGCUUUACACAUGCAAGUCGAACGGCAGCGCGGACUUCGGUCUGGCGGCGAGUGGCGAACGGGUGAGUAAUGUAUCGGAACGUGCCCAGUAGCGGGGGAUAACUACGCGAAAGCGUAGCUAAUACCGCAUACGCCCUACGGGGGAAAGCAGGGGAUCGUAAGACCUUUCACUAUUGGAGCGGCCGAUAUCGGAUUAGCUAGUUGGUGAGGUAACGGCUCACCAAGGCGACGAUCCGUAGCUGGUUUGAGAGGACGACCAGCCACACUGGGACUGAGACACGGCCCAGACUCCUACGGGAGGCAGCAGUGGGGAAUUUUGGACAAUGGGGGCAACCCUGAUCCAGCCAUCCCGCGUGUGCGAUGAAGGCCUUCGGGUUGUAAAGCACUUUUGGCAGGAAAGAAACGUCGCGGGCUAAUACCCCGUGGAACUGACGGUACCUGCAGAAUAAGCACCGGCUAACUACGUG
rnacentral:rRNA from 1 species